UACGGAGGGUGCAAGCGUUAUCCGGAUUUACUGGGUUUAAAGGGUGCGUAGGCGGGCAGAUAAGUCAGUGGUGAAAUCCCCGAGCUUAACUUGGGAACUGCCAUUGAUACUAUUUGUCUUGAAUGUCGUGGAGGUUAGCGGAAUAUGUCAUGUAGCGGUGAAAUGCUUAGAUACGACAUAGAACACCCAUUGCGAAGGCAGCUAACUACGCGAAUAUUGACGCUGAGGCGCGAAAGCGUGGGGAGCAAACAGG
rnacentral:rRNA from 1 species